UACGGAGGGAGCUAGCGUUGUUCGGAAUUACUGGGCGUAAAGCGCGCGUAGGCGGCUUUGUAAGUUAGAGGUGAAAGCCCGGGGCUCAACCCCGGAAUUGCCUUUAAGACUGCAUCGCUUGAAUCCGGGAGAGGUGAGUGGAAUUCCGAGUGUAGAGGUGAAAUUCGUAGAUAUUCGGAAGAACACCAGUGGCGAAGGCGGCUCACUGGACCGGCAUUGACGGCUGAGGUGCGAAAGCGUGGGGAGCAAACAGG
rnacentral:rRNA from 1 species